rnacentral:misc_RNA from 1 species
UUGAGGUGCCUUCUUGCGCACACAUCUAGGCACCGCUGCUCUCCGGCUCCUCCUUCUCCCUCUCGAUGUCUUCGCAGCACAUGCGCCGUUUUUGCAGUGGCUGUAUGUACAGAAAAGCGCACGCACUAACGUUUGCAGAGGCGGUUGCACCUCCAAUUGCGCUCGGCAGGUGACUCUCUGCCUUGAGAGCCAGAGCUCUUCUUUUCCCUGGAUCGAAGCGCCUCUCCUCUCUGUUUCGAGUGCAGUCUCCACACCAGUGAGGGCAACCGCACAGGCACACACUGCCUGUCUGUCUGUCUGCCUCUUCCAUCCGUCCACUUUCCUCGUCUUCUUGGCUUCUCACGUCACGUCGGUGACGUAUGGUUUGCGCGCAGGCCCUUCUGCGUUUUUAUCUUUUGCGCAGGGUUUCGGGUGCAAAGGUCAUCUUGUCGUGCUCACCAUGUGCGAAGCCAGUAAUGUAAGAUGGAAAGAGAAGAGGCACAACGUUGUUUGCCGCGUUGCUCCUUUUUGGCCCUGGAAUGUGUCACACACUUCUGUCGUCGCAUCGUCGAGCUGCCCCAAUCGUGCGAUUGGUUUGUGUGGCUGUCUGGGUUCGGUGUGCCGGUGUCUAUGCAGGAGUGGGUGGGAGUGUCCGUGGGAUUAUCUACCUCCAUCGUUUUGGGCUCGUUUUAUUCCUCUUUUAUCUUGACCUCGCCUUCAUCGCGCCCCCUUUCCUCUGUCGCUACGCACAUCUCGCUUUCGCUAUUGGCGUCGUCCAUCGGUUCUUGCUACGGACGCAUUGCUCGUCCUUGUCGACAUCUUUGCCUGAGCAGUGUGUGUCGUUGUCUUCUCACACACCACCUCACCUGCGCAGGCGCCAUCGUCCCCUCCCUUGCUUUGUCGUUGCUUUGUUCUGGUUUGUGCUUCGUCACAGGUGCAGCACGCUGCCUGCCACAUCUGCUCUAUCCCUCUCUUCCCUGGUGCCCUCCUGCCGCUUGCAGCGACCGCAUCGUUCGGUGUCUUCUUCGUUUUUCUUCAUGGUCCUAUCGGGUGCCUUGAUUUCUACCGCCCUUCGUCUUGAAAUUGCCUCUCUUCUCAAUCCACGGUUUUCGCGAUGGCGCGCAGCAGCAUAGACGGUGUAAGACUACGGUGAAAACAACGACAGAAGAAAGGAGAAGGGGCACCACAAGUGACGUGCAUCCAGCUUGGGCAGAGGUGGACGGAGGCUCGCGUGGGAUCGUACUGUCAGUGAGCCGCAGCGAUGGCGACCACGCAGCGCCACUCACCCCCACUCUUCCUCUCUCACACCUUCUCAUUCCCUUUGUUACCCAAUGACAUUCAG